rnacentral:rRNA from 1 species
UACGUAGGGUGCAGGCGUUAAUCGGAAUUACUGGGCGUAAAGCGUGCGCAGGCGGUCUGCUAAGAGAGGUGUGAAAUCCCCGGGCUUAACCUGGGAACUGCGCUUCUAACUGGCAGGCUAGAGUGUGGCAGAGGGGGGUGGAAUUCCACGUGUAGCAGUGAAAUGCGUAGAGAUGUGGAGGAACACCGAUGGCGAAGGCAGCCCCCUGGGCUAACACUGACGCUCACGCACGAAAGCGUGGGGAGCAAACAGG